rnacentral:rRNA from 1 species
UACGUAGGGUGCAAGCGUUAAUCGGAAUUACUGGGCGUAAAGCGUGCGCAGGCGGUGAUGUAAGACAGGUGUGAAAUCCCCGGGCUUAACCUGGGAACUGCAUUUGUGACUGCCUCGCUGGAGUGCGGCAGAGGGGGAUGGAAUUCCGCGUGUAGCAGUGAAAUGCGUAGAUAUGCGGAGGAACACCGAUGGCGAAGGCAAUCCCCUGGGCCUGCACUGACGCUCAUGCACGAAAGCGUGGGGAGCAAACAGG